GUACACUCCUACGGGAGGCAGCAGUGGGGAAUAUUGGACAAUGGGCGCAAGCCUGAUCCAGCCAUGCCGCGUGAGUGAUGAAGGCCCUAGGGUUGUAAAGCUCUUUCACCGGUGAAGAUAAUGGCGGUAACCGGAGAAGAAGCCCCGGCUAACUUCGUGCCAGCAGCCGCGGUAAUACGAAGGGGGCUAGCGUUGUUCGGAUUUACUGGGCGUAAAGCGCACGUAGGCGGACUAUUAAGUCAGGGGUGAAAUCCCGGGGCUCAACCCCGGAACUGCCUUUGAUACUGGUAGUCUUGAGUUCGAGAGAGGUGAGUGGAAUUCCGAGUGUAGAGGUGAAAUUCGUAGAUAUUCGGAGGAACACCAGUGGCGAAGGCGGCUCACUGGCUCGAUACUGACGCUGAGGUGCGAAAGCGUGGGGAGCAAACAGGAUUAGAUACCCGGGUAGUCC
rnacentral:rRNA from 1 species